UUCAAGUAUAACCCAGACAAAAGAAAUUUUAACUGGAGUUGUGCUAAUUAAUAUAUUUUGUGGGAAUUGAUACUUAUGAUAAUAAAUCUUCCCAUCUAUAAAUAUGUCUUUCCCUGUGUUCAUAUCUUUUAUGCCCUUUAAGAAGUUCUUGUAGUUUCUUCCAUAAGUCCUAUGGUUUUCUUAUUAAAUUUAUCCUCACCUAUUUUAUAUUUGUGAAUGCAAGAUUUUUUAUUCCUUUUCACUUCUAGAUAACGAUUGCUACUUAAUAUAGAAGUUUCAUGUCUUUUUGUAAAAUAUUUUUAACAGUGAUUUGAUUUUCUUACAUUAUGCUUUUAUUUAUAUUGUCCCAUAACCUCGUGGAUGGUGUUGAAUAACCAUCAGGCAAGAAUCAGCAUCUCUUGUUUAGUUUCUGUUUUUCAUUGAAACAGGUUUGGGUGUUUUUAACAUCUAUAGUAUUUGCUCCUAGUGUUUGUUAAAUAUUUGCUCUCUUCACCUCUGGAUGCUGGAUACGGUUAGGAGUGCAGUUGUCUGUCUUCAUCUGCUAAUCGAGUGUGGGUCAGACUGCUGCAGUGUUUUAAGGAGUAACUGCAGGAGCAAUGGGAGGGAAAACAGCCUCUGCCUCUUUGAGCCUCAGUUAGCAUCCUGCUAGGGUAGUAGGAGGAAGCCCCUCUUUCCCACCUUGUCUCAGCCUCAGAGGUUGCGGGGACUCCGCCCACUGAUCAGUUUCCAUUCAGUUUCUUAGGCAUCAGGGGAAAUGGCUGCACCGUCUACACAGUGCAGCUGUCUGCCUUUCUGGGAGCCCAGUUGUGCUUGCUGGAUAGAUCCUGCAGGAUCCUGGUGUCCAGAUUCUCACUUGAAGGUUGCCCUGUGCCGAUCUCCCCAGGCCCAUACCCCAGCCAGAGGAGAAAAGUCGACCACAAUAGCCUUUUCCCUGGCGGUGAAUAUUUUUAUGGGCGGGGAGGAGGAGUGGAGAACAAAAAAAAAAAAAAAA